rnacentral:rRNA from 1 species
GAGUUUGAUCCUGGCUCAGGAUGAACGCUGGCGGCGUGCUUAACACAUGCAAGUCGAACGAAGCGAUAGGAAGGAAGUUUUCGGAUGGAAUUCAUAUUGACUGAGUGGCGGACGGGUGAGUAACGCGUGGGUAACCUGCCUCAUACAGGGGGAUAACAGUUAGAAAUGACUGCUAAUACCGCAUAAGCGCACAGAAUCGCAUGAUUCGGUGUGAAAAACUCCGGUGGUAUGAGAUGGACCCGCGUCUGAUUAGCUAGUUGGUGGGGUAAAGGCCUACCAAGGCGACGAUCAGUAGCCGACCUGAGAGGGUGAUCGGCCACAUUGGGACUGGGACACGGCCCAAACUCCUACGGGAGGCAGCAGUGGGGAAUAUUGCACAAUGGGGGAAACCCUGAUGCAGCAACGCCGCGUGAGUGAAGAAGUAUUUCGGUAUGUAAAGCUCUAUCAGCAGGGAAGAAGAUGACGGUACCUGAUUAAGAAGCCCCGGCUAACUACGUGCCAGCAGCCGCGGUAAUACGUAGGGGGCAAGCGUUAUCCGGAUUUACUGGGUGUAAAGGGAGCGUAGACGGCAUAGCAAGUCUGAAGUGAAAGCCCAAGGCUCAACCAUGGGACUGCUUUGGAAACUGUUAAGCUAGAGUGC